GUUAGGAAUAUUGGACAAUGGGCGCAAGCCUGAUCCAGCCAUGCCGCGUGAACGAUGAAGGCCUUCGGGUUGUAAAGUUCUUUAGCCGAUGAUUAUAAUGACUGUAGUCGGAAAAUAAGCCCCGGCUAACUUCGUGCCAGCAGCCGCGGUAAUACGAAGGGGGCGAGCGUUAUUCGGAAUCACUGGGCGUAAAGCGUGCGUAGGCGGUCUCGUAAGUUAGGAGUGAAAGCCCAGGGCUCAACCUUGGAAUUGCUCUUAAAACUGCAAGGCUAGAAUCUCGGAGAGGAUAGCGGAAUUUCCAGUGUAGCAGUGAAAUGCGUAGAUAUUGGAAGGAACACCAGUGGCGUAAGCGGCUAUCUGGACGAGUAUUGACGCUGAGGCACGAAAGCGUGGGGAUCAAACAGGAUUAGAUACCCUUGUAGUCC
rnacentral:rRNA from 1 species